AUGGCUUCCUCUGCCUCUCAUCCAUCCUCUCUCUUCUCUGUACAGGUGCUCCCCGCGCCAUGGAAGCCACCGCAGGCCUCCACGUCGAGCUCCGCCGCCCCUGGAUCUCCUCUCCCCGUGGAGCUACUCGAGCCCUGCCCAGACCAGCCAAGCCGCCGUUCCCGCCGCGGCCCUGCUCCGUUCGUCGUUGUCUCCGUCAGAUCCGACGAGUCCCAACACCCCGGCCUCGUCCCUGCCUCCAGGUCGCCGCUCCGCCGCCGGAGACCAAGCUGCCGCCGCGCCUGGCCCCUGCCUCGACCUGCUGCCAGUGUCGUGCUUCCUCUGCUUCACCCGAACAGGAGCGCCCGCCUCCAGCGCCCUCCUGGCCGCGUCCCGCAGUCGGCCCAACGCAGCUCCCUGCCGGCCUUACCUCUCCACCGACCGGGCCAAGGCCCAUGUUCCGAUAACGUCGCGUUUGUGAGGAUUUGGUUGACUUCGUCCGUUUGUCUUCUUCAUGGACUCGUUCUUCUUCCUUGCGGGAUCUCAGGCAAGAUGACCAUACCCUCGAAAUCACUUCUAUCUUUGCUUGCUAGUUGUUCCCUCUAUUGCUAUGUCGCGCUACCUACCACUUGCUAUAUCAUGCCUCCCAUAUUGCCAUGUCAAGCCUCUAACCCAUCUUUCCUAGCAAACCGUUGUUUGGCUAUGUUACCGCUUUUGCUCAGCCCCUCUUAUAGCGUUGCUAGUUGCAGGUGA
rnacentral:rRNA from 1 species